GCAAGUCGAACGAACUCUGGUAUUGAUUGGUGCUUGCAUCAUGAUUUACAUUUGAGUGAGUGGCGAACUGGUGAGUAACACGUGGGAAACCUGCCCAGAAGCGGGGGAUAACACCUGGAAACAGAUGCUAAUACCGCAUAACAACUUGGACCGCAUGGUCCGAGCUUGAAAGAUGGCUUCGGCUAUCACUUUUGGAUGGUCCCGCGGCGUAUUAGCUAGAUGGUGGGGUAACGGCUCACCAUGGCAAUGAUACGUAGCCGACCUGAGAGGGUAAUCGGCCACAUUGGGACUGAGACACGGCCCAAACUCCUACGGGAGGCAGCAGUAGGGAAUCUUCCACAAUGGACGAAAGUCUGAUGGAGCAACGCCGCGUGAGUGAAGAAGGGUUUCGGCUCGUAAAACUCUGUUGUUAAAGAAGAACAUAUCUGAGAGUAACUGUUCAGGUAUUGACGGUAUUUAACCAGAAAGCCACGGCUAACUACGUGCCAGCAGCCGCGGUAAUACGUAGGUGGCAAGCGUUGUCCGGAUUUAUUGGGCGUAAAGCGAGCGCAGGCGGUUUUUUAAGUCUGAUGUGAAAGCCUUCGGCUCAACCGAAGAAGUGCAUCGGAAACUGGGAAACUUGAGUGCAGAAGAGGACAGUGGAACUCCAUGUGUAGCGGUGAAAUGCGUAGAUAUAUGGAAGAACACCAGUGGCGAAGGCGGCUGUCUGGUCUGUAACUGACGCUGAGGCUCGAAAGUAUGGGUAGCAAACAGGAUUAGAUACCCUGGUAGUCCAUACCGUAAACGAUGAAUGCUAAGUGUUGGAGGGUUUCCGCCCUUCAGUGCUGCAGCUAACGCAUUAAGCAUUCCGCCUGGGGAGUACGGCCGCAAGGCUGAAACUCAAAGGAAUUGACGGGGGCCCGCACAAGCGGUGGAGCAUGUGGUUUAAUUCGAAGCUACGCGAAGAACCUUACCAGGUCUUGACAUACUAUGCAAAUCUAAGAGAUUAGACGUUCCCUUCGGGGACAUGGAUACAGGUGGUGCAUGGUUGUCGUCAGCUCGUGUCGUGAGAUGUUGGGUUAAGUCCCGCAACGAGCGCAACCCUUAUUAUCAGUUGCCAGCAUUAAGUUGGGCACUCUGGUGAGACUGCCGGUGACAAACCGGAGGAAGGUGGGGAUGACGUCAAAUCAUCAUGCCCCUUAUGACCUGGGCUACACACGUGCUACAAUGGAUGGUACAACGAGUUGCGAACUCGCGAGAGUAAGCUAAUCUCUUAAAGCCAUUCUCAGUUCGGAUUGUAGGCUGCAACUCGCCUACAUGAAGUCGGAAUCGCUAGUAAUCGCGGAUCAGCAUGCCGCGGUGAAUACGUUCCCGGGCCUUGUACACACCGCCCGUCACACCAUGAGAGUUUGUAACACCCAAAGUCGGUGGGGUAACCUUUUAGGAACCAGCCGCCUAA
rnacentral:rRNA from 1 species